UGGGGAAUUUUGGACAAUGGGCGCAAGCCUGAUCCAGCCAUGCCGCGUGAGUGAAGAAGGCCUUCGGGUUGUAAAGCUCUUUCAGCCGGAAAGAAAACGGACAGGAUAAUACCCUGUGUGGAUGACGGUACCGGAAGAAGAAGCACCGGCUAACUACGUGCCAGCAGCCGCGGUAAUACAGAGGUGGCAAGCGUUGUUCGGAAUUACUGGGCGUAAAGGGCGCGUAGGCGGCCCUCUAAGUCAGACGUGAAAUCCCCCGGCUUAACCUGGGAACUGCGUCUGAUACUGGAGGGCUUGAGUAUGGGAGAGGGAUGUAGAAUUCCAGGUGUAGCGGUGAAAUGCGUAGAUAUCUGGAGGAAUACCGGUGGCGAAGGCGGCAUCCUGGACCAUUACUGACGCUGAGGCGCGAAAGCUAGGGGAGCAAACGGGAUUAGAUACCCCUGUAGUCCCUGAGCGGGCUGGCAAGGCGCAU
rnacentral:rRNA from 1 species